GACGAACGCUGGCGGCGUGCUUAACACAUGCAAGUCGAACGGUGAAGCGCCUUCCUUUUUGGUGGGUGUGGAUGAGUGGCGAACGGGUGAGUAACACGUGAGUAACCUGCCCCCUUCUUCUGGAUAACCGCAUGAAAGUGUGGCUAAUACGGGAUAUUCUGGUUCUGUCGCAUGAUGGGUCUGGGAAAGAUAUUGUUUCGGUGGGGGAUGGGCUCGCGGCCUAUCAGCUUGUUGGUGGGGUGAUGGCCUACCAAGGCGGUGACGGGUAGCCGGCCUGAGAGGGUGGACGGUCACACUGGGACUGAGACACGGCCCAGACUCCUACGGGAGGCAGCAGUGGGGAAUAUUGCACAAUGGGCGCAAGCCUGAUGCAGCGACGCCGCGUGAGGGAUGGAGGCCUGCGGGUUGUGAACCUCUUUCGCCAGUGAAGCAGGCCUGCCUCGUUUGUGGGUGGGUUGACGGUAGCUGGAUAAGAAGCGCCGGCUAACUACGUG
rnacentral:rRNA from 1 species